AUCACAAGAGAUGUCAGUUUAUUCUAAAGAUAUUUUACAAGUAAAUUUUAUCUUCUAAAAUAUAAUUAAAAAUUUUAAAAUUUUUUGUAUAUACAAUUUAUUGGAUAUAAAAAAUUAUCAUCCCGCAUAUGAAAUAUUAAUAAUCCAACCUUACUAAUCCGAGUUAAACCUGCAAUAUACCCAAUCCAAUUUACAAAAAUAAAUAAAUUCCAUAUUUUAAGCCACUAAUUUUUAGAGCCCAAUCUCUAAUAUAACAUUAAACUUAUUCGGCCU
rnacentral:lncRNA from 1 species